UUGGCCGCGUAGCUCAGGGGAUAGAGCACAGGUUUCCUAAACCUGGUGUCGCAGGUUCGAAUCCUGCCGCCCCAGCCA
rnacentral:tRNA from 1 species